rnacentral:rRNA from 1 species
GACGAACGCUGGCGGCGUGCCUAAUACAUGCAAGUCGACCUUAGUGGCGAACGGGUGAGUACCACGUGGUUACCCUGACCAUCAGAAGGGGAUAACAAUUGGAAACAGGUGCUCAUACCGUAUACCUAUGGAUGGACCCGCGGUGCAUUAGCUAGUUGGUGAGUUAACGGCUCACCAAGACCACGAUGCAUAGGCGACCUGAAAGGGGGAUCGGACAAAUGGGGACUGAGACACGGCCCAAACUCCUACGGGAGGCAGCAGUAGGGAAUCUUCGGCAAUGGACGAAAGUCUGACCGAGCAACGCCGCGUGAGUGAAGAAGGUUUUCGGAUCGUAAAACUCUGUUGUUAGAGAAGCGGUAUCUAACCAGAAAGCCACGGCUAACUACGUGCCAGCAGCCGCGGUAAUUC